rnacentral:rRNA from 1 species
UACGAGUGCUCCAAGCGUUAUCCGGAAUCAUUGGGCGUAAAGCGUGCGCAGGCGGUUGUGUAAGUCAGAUGUGAAAUCCCCGGGCUCAACCUGGGAAUGGCAUUUGGGACUGCAAGGCUGGAGUACGGCAGAGGAGACUGGAAUUCCUGGUGUAGCAGUGAAAUGCGUAGAGAUCAGGAGGAAUACCGAUGGCGAAGGCAGGUCUCUGGGCUGAUACUGACGCUCAUGCACGAAAGCGUGGGGAGCAAACAGG